rnacentral:misc_RNA from 1 species
GGGUGAUUUCUACAUUAUGAUUCAUUGGCAAAUAAUCCUUCUUGCCCAUAUGUUUUAAGCAUUUUAGUCUUAACAGUUGAGUUCUUCUUGUCUAGCACAUCACAAAGAAAUGAACUAAGAAAUAUGAGAAUGGAAGUAAAGGGAGGGGCACAAUAUUUUUACCCAUUUCUGGUUCAGUAGUACAUUAGAAACUUUACACGUCUAAAAUUAGGUGUAGUAUACUUCUUUUUUCAGUCAAAAUUCUACUUUUAAGAGUAUGUUUAAAUGGUUCUUUUAUCAAUAAAGUCGUGCAUGUGUGAGGAA